GUCCCCAAACACUUGGAGGCUGCAGUCAGUCUGGUUUUCAGCAUUAGCAUCUCAUUAGCAUGGGCUGAGGCCAACCUGGGGCCCGGUCAACAGCCCAGCUUUGUGUGGAGGGAGGGGAAACCAAGAACCCAGGUGGACAGAGGGGAGGAGUUUAGCAGUCUCACCUUGCUCCCUCGUCCAGUCCAGCGGUCAGAAGUGGCCACGCAGAACCCAACAUUCAGCCUGGGUGCAGACACUGCCUCUAGCCUCCUCCCCAAGCACUCUCCUAGUAUGGCAAAACAGCCCUUGAGAGAUUGCAGAAAGCCAUCAACCUUGAAGAUAACAGGAGCCCUCCCAAGGAAAUGUGUUCAGGAGACCUUCUAAGACCAUGCCAUUUCCUGGGUCCCUCUCCCAGUGGGGAAAUUCUCCCAGUAGCAGAUUCUGGCAGACAGCAGAGACACACUGUAUGCCGAACACUAGGCACCGGAUGGAUGAGAUAAUCAUAAAUCC
rnacentral:lncRNA from 1 species